rnacentral:rRNA from 1 species
AUGAACGCUGGCGGCGUGCCUAAUACAUGCAAGUCGAGCGAACGGACGAGAAGCUUGCUUCUCUGAUGUUAGCGGCGGACGGGUGAGUAACACGUGGAUAACCUACCUAUAAGACUGGGAUAACUUCGGGAAACCGGAGCUAAUACCGGAUAAUAUUUUGAACCGCAUGGUUCAAAAGUGAAAGACGGUCUUGCUGUCACUUAUAGAUGGAUCCGCGCUGCAUUAGCUAGUUGGUAAGGUAACGGCUUACCAAGGCAACGAUGCAUAGCCGACGUGAGAGGGUGAUCGGCCACACUGGAACUGAGACACGGUCCAGACUCCUACGGGAGGCAGCAGUAGGGAAUCUUCCGCAAUGGGCGAAAGCCUGACGGAGCAACGCCGCGUGAGUGAUGAAGGUCUUCGGAUCGUAAAACUCUGUUAUUAGGGAAGAACAUAUGUGUAAGUAACUGUGCACAUCUUGACGGUACCUAAUCAGAAAGCCACGGCUAACUACGUG